GGGGCCGAUUAGGAUUCGACGCCGGUAGCGAAACUCUAGGUGCAUGCCGAGUUGGUAACAGAACUCGUAAAUCCACUGUUGCAACUUUCUAUAGUUGCCAAUGACGACCACUACGGGGAAGUAAAGUUCGCUGCUUAAUUGCAGCUGACCCUUCCUCCUGGUAGCUUCGGCUCCAGCAAUCAUCAGGGGAUGCCUGUAAACCCGAAAUGAUUGUCAUACAGAACAGGAUCGUCGUGCAGCACGUUGGGGGCGAAGCGACUAAAACUUACCCAACUCAUCCAAAGCACCCUGCCCGUCGGGCGGCUGCGGAUUAAAUCAGUAGACACGGCUAAGCAUGUAGUACCGACAGCGGAGUACUGGCGGACGGGGGUUCAAAUCCCCCCG
rnacentral:tmRNA from 1 species